rnacentral:rRNA from 1 species
AUACGGAGGAUCCGAGCGUUAUCCGGAUUUAUUGGGUUUAAAGGGUGCGCAGGCGGCCAUUUAAGUCAGCGGUUAAAUCGUGGGGCUCAACCCCAUUCUGCCGUUGAUACUGGGUGGCUUGAUUGCGGUCGAGGUUGGCGGAAUUCGUUGUGUAGCGGUGAAAUGCAUAGAUAGGACGAAGAACACCGAUUGCGUAGGCAGCUGACCAGACCGCAAAUGACGCUCAUGCACGAAAGUGCGGGGAUCGAACAGGAUUAGAUACCCUGGUAGUCCGCACAGUAAACGAUGAAUACUUGUUUUCGGCGAUAUAAUGUCGGAGGCAAAGCGAAAGCGAUAAGUAUUCCACCUGGGGAGUACGCCGGCAACGGUGAAACUCAAAGGAAUUGACGGGG